rnacentral:rRNA from 1 species
GUGAAGAAAGUAAAUAAGGGCACACGGGGGAUGCCUAGGCUCUCAGAGGCGAAGAAGGACGUGAUAAGCUGCGAUAAGCUUUGGGGAUUGGCAAAUGCGAUUUGAUCCAAAGAUUUCCGAAUGGGGCAACCUGACUAUUUGAAGAAUAGUCGUAUGAUACGCGAACGCGCUGAACUGAAACAUCUAAGUAGGCGUAGGAGAAGAAAAUAACAAUGAUUUCCCAAGUAGUGGCGAGCGAACGGGAAAGAGCCCAAACCGAUUAUGUUACGGCAUAGUCGGGGUUGUAGGACCACGAGAUUGUACAGCGCUAUGAACUGGAAGCAGGUGGGAAACUGCGCAAUAAGGGUGAGAGCCCCGUACAGGAAAAGAAUGUUGACAUAGUGGUAUCCUGAGUACCGCGGGACCGGAGAAAUCCUGUGGGAAUCCACCAGCACCAUCUGGUAAGGCUAAAUACUCCUGAGAGACCGAUAGUGAACCAGUACCGUGAGGGAAAGGUGAAAAGAACCCCGAACAGGGGAGUGAAAAGAACCUGAAACCGUGUGCUUACAAGCGGUUGGAGCAGAGAGAUUCUGUGACAGCGUGCCUUUUGCAUAAUGAGCCUACGAGUUACUCUUGUCUGGCAAGGUUAAGUCCUUCAGGGACGCAGCCGAAGCGAAAGCGAGUCUUAAUAGGGCGCAUAGUCAGAUGAGGUAGACGCGAAACCUUGUGAUCUACCCUUGGGCAGGUUGAAGUUGCAGUAACAUGUAAUGGAGGACCGAACCGAUAAACGUUGAAAAGUUUCCGGAUGACCUGAGGGUAGGGGUGAAAGGCCAAUCAAACUGGGAAAUAGCUCGUACUCCCCGAAAUGUUUUUAGGAACAGCGUCGGCAUCGAGUUUAAUAGAGGUAGAGCUACCGAUUGGGUGCGGGGGAGUCAAAUCCUACCAAAUCCAGACGAACUCCGAAUGCUAUUAAAUAUGGCCGGCAGUGAGGCUUUGGGUGCUAAGGUCCAAGGCCGAGAGGGAAAGAACCCAGACCAUCAGCUAAGGUCCCCAAAUUCGUUCUAAGUUGAACUAACGAGGUCCGGUUGCCCAGACAGCUAGGAUGUUGGCUUGGAAGCAGCCAUUCAUUUAAAGAGUGCGUAACAGCUCACUAGUCGAGCGGCCGGGCGUGGAUAAUAAACGGGCAUCAAGAACGGUACCGAAGCUAUGGAUUUGUAACAUUAGUUACAUCUGGUAGGGGAGCAUUCCAUAUGGGGUGAAGAUAUCUGGUAAUGGGUGUUGGACCGUAUGGAAAAGCAAAUGUAGGCAUAAGUAACGAUAAGGCGGGUGGGAAACCCGCCCACCGAAAGACCAAGGUUUCCUGAUCAACGUUAAUCGGAUCAGGGUCAGUCGGGACCUAAGGCGCACCCGAAGGGGGCAAGCCGAUGGACAACUGGUUAAUAUUCCAGUACUCUUCAUAACUGCGAUGUGGUGACGGAGUAGUGACACUGCCGCGAACUGACGGAAUAGUUCGUUGAAAGGCGUAGGUAUAGGGACGGUAGGCAAAUCCGCCGACCCUGCUGAACCCCAAUAGUACAGCAAAGCUUCGGUGGCGCUGAUAGAGCAGGUAAACAGACUUCCAAGAAAACCCGCUAAGCUUCAGGUUAUGAAGACCCGUACCGCAAACCGACACAGGUGGUCGAGGAGAGAAUCCUAAGGUGCUCGAGUGAGUCAUGGCUAAGGAACUCGGCAAAAUGGCCCUGUAACUUCGGGAGAAGGGGCGCUGUCUCUGAGAGGAGCAGCCGCAGUGAAAAGGCCCAGGCGACUGUUUAACAAAAACAUAUGGCUUUGCAAAAUCGCAAGAUGAGGUAUAAGGCCUGACACCUGCCCGGUGCUGGAAGGUUAAGAGGGGAUGUCAUCGUAAGAGAAGCAUUGAAUCGAAGCCCCAGUAAACGGCGGCCGUAACUAUAACGGUCCUAAGGUAGCGAAAUUCCUUGUCGGGUAAGUUCCGACCUGCACGAAUGGUGUAACGAUCUGGGCGCUGUCUCAGCCAUGAGCUCGGUGAAAUUGUGGUAUCGGUGAAGACGCCGAUUACCCGCAACGGGACGGAAAGACCCCAUGCACCUUCACUAUAGCUUAACAUUGAGAUUGGGUACAGGAUGUGUAGGAUAGGCGGGAGAUGUUGAAGCGUGUUCGCCAGGAUACGUGGAAUCAACCUUGAAAUACCGCCCUUUCUGUAUUCGGUUUCUAACUCCUUUAUGAGGAGGACAUUGUUUGGUGGGUAGUUUGACUGGGGUGGUCGCCUCCAAAAAGGUAACGGAGGCUUUCAAAGGUAAGCUCAGUACGCUUGGUAACCGUACGUGGAGUGCAAUGGCAUAAGCUUGCUUGACUGUGAGACCGACAAGUCGAACAGGGUCGAAAGACGGACAUAGUGAUCCGGUGGUUCUGUAUGGAAGGGCCAUCGCUCAAAGGAUAAAAGGUACGCUGGGGAUAACAGGCUGAUCUCCCCCAAGAGCUCAUAUCGACGGGGAGGUUUGGCACCUCGAUGUCGGCUCGUCACAUCCUGGGGCUGGAGAAGGUCCCAAGGGUUGGGCUGUUCGCCCAUUAAAGUGGCACGCGAGCUGGGUUCAGAACGUCGCGAGACAGUUCGGUCCCUAUCUGUUGUGGGCGUUGGAAGUUUGAGUGGAUCUGACCUUAGUACGAGAGGACCGGGUUGGACAGACCUCUGGUGAACCUGUUAUGCCGCCAGGUGUACGGCAGGGUAGCUACGUCUGGAAUAGAUAAGCGCUGAAAGCAUCUAAGUGCGAAACUAGCCACGAGAUGAGACUUCCUUAUAGGGUCGUAGAAGAUGACUACGUUGAUAGGCCAUAGGUGUAAAGGUUGAGAGACCAAAGCCAAGUGGUACUAAUAGCCCGAAGCUUUCUCAUGCAGAGACACACUGUUGUCUUCCUCUUUAAUUUUUGAAACAAA